AGGAGGAGGGAAGGAAGGCGGCGGCGCAGCGGUCCCCGCCGCCCGCUGGGGCGGCCUCAGCGCUUCAACGGGAUCAGCCCAUCAAAAGUACUGCCGUAUGCCUUCUUUGCAAGAGCAAGCAGAAUGGAAGACUGGACUAGAAAUGAGAGCUCUCCAAGCACAUUUGAGCCACGACAUGAACUUCACCACAUACUCAAUGUAGGACCGUGAAAACGUGUGGAAGAUGGAAGUGACUGGAAAUGCCAUGAGGAGGAUGCCACUCAGGAUGCUGCUCAGUGCCACCACUUGGCCAGGAAUGCUCCUGGGAACCAUAUCUCCGUAGCCUACCGUGGUCAUGGUGAUGACAGCCCACCAGUAGCACGCGGGGAUGCUGGUAAACUCCUGCGAGUCCGCCAUCUCGUUCUCGAUGACAUACAGGAGCGGUGCAAACAGUGCAAUGGCCACACAGAGGAAGAGCAGCAGGAGACCAAACUCCCGGGUGCACCUGCGAGCAGUCAGCCCCAGCGUCUGCAGCCCUAGGGAGUGCCUGGCCAGCCGCAUGACAUAAAGAAUCCUCAAGGCACGGAGUAUACGGAGGACCAGACCUACUUUGUCCAGAUACCUCCUUUUACAACACCAGUCCAAGUUGUCUUCCUCAAUUCCCCAGUAGAGCAGCUCCUCUUGGAAAGACAACGCACACAUCUCCCGCAGGAGCCGAAGUUUUCCAACCCGCAAAAAGGGCCUGUGGUAGGACUGUGGAAAAAGAAAGCCUACGGGAAUAUACAAGAAUGGACAAGGCGUGAUUCAGACCUUUCAAGAGCUGUGGUACCAUUUUCUGGCCCUUUUGGCAGAGGUAAGCUUUGGCAUCUUGCUCCUAUCCCAAAGUGGGAUCUCUAUUGCUAUUGCUAGUGAUUUGAGAGCAGCUGUUUGGAGGGUUAACCCAUUCUCUGCUAAAAUCUUAACUAUGUUCAGCUUUCAGUACCUUAUCACUACAUACUUUCUUGUAUUGCUGAGUGGCUCUGUCUUUCCUCCAGAAUUAUGACUCUUGGGAAUCCCCAUGGCAGGCAAUGGGCAAUUCUAAAACUUCCAAAGGAGUUUUAGAAAAGGAGGAUGUAAUAAACUCAAGUAAACUUCUAGUUGAUUUCAGUUUAUGUCUUGUCUCAAGAAAGACUAAGUGAAGGCGUACUGAUCUGCAAGUCCUGUUUUCUGAAAGAACAUUAACACAAAAUGUAAUCAUACUAAAGAGUCACUGUCUAGAGAACUCCAGCCAACACUGGGAUUAUCAGCGGAGCAUCACGACAAACAGUGGCACUCUGCCACUGCCCACUGCUAAAGCUGCAGGGCUCAGAUAAAUGAAUGGAUCUGAGGAGAAUGACAGCUGGCUCACAUAGUGCUAGCUAGAGCACGUUGAACAGUGCAAGUAAGGAGCAGUUGAGCUUGUAAUUACCCUGACUUACAGUCCUAUCCCAUGAAGCACUCCUAGUGACCUAAGAGCUGGUCUUCUAUUAAAGCAUGCCCAUCUGCAGAAAUACUGCCACUGUGAGCUCAAGCCGUAGGUGGGAAAACGGGGCUACCUGAGGUAUGGUUAUGUAGGACCCUUCUCCUUAAGAGUAACUGUUUUUUUCUUUAGAAACAAAUUUUUUCCCGUCUGCCUCAACUAUGUCUAAGGCUGGGCUUGCCUAAAGAGAAUAAAGAUUAUGAUUAAUGGAAGACUGUGGAAAAAUUGGGAGCUAAGUUAACCGCUUUCCCUUCUGUAAUACCAGAUGAUGUUGGUUAGCAACAAUUUAUCCUCUGAAUCUCAGCCAGGAAAAAUGAGGAGGCAGCUCAUCUCUGUGACUGGUUUGAUCUCCCACCACAUCCAUUGUUGACACAAUGGAAAGAAAUGGGGAGAGGGAAAUGUAAAUGUUCGUGUGUGUCAGACACACGCUGUAACCCUGAGGCAUCAGCUGUGAAACAACAGAGCAAAGAAAAAAUAAUUUCUUUCUUCACUUCCAGCUUCUCGACCUGUGCGAGACAAUAAAUUGGACAAAUUAAUCCCCUGUGUAACACACAGUGACUGCAGUUAUAAAAGGUGGUUCCUUCUAUUUCCAUAACCAGAACUGGCAAGCCCACAGAUUCCACGUAGGCAGCUUUGGUAUUUCAUGCUGUACAUGUGUUAUUUACGUGAUUUUUUACCUCUGAUACACAAAGCUUCAUAUCUAAGAGGGAAGAAUAGGAGAAAAUAAGGGACAAUAGAAAAGAUGGUCUGAAUUGAAGGAAAAGAGAAAGGUGAAAAAUAAAGCCAUGCGCUUCUUUGCAUGUUUCUUCAUUGGAAGGCACCUCUACAGAAUGAUGAUCAGCACUACGUUAAGAAGGGAGCUAUCUGAAGAAUAGAAAGGGUUUUUUUGUUAGUGAGCUUGCAAAAAGAGCAACCUACUUUACUCGUGCAUUGCAGACUGAUGACAUUGGGGAUAGGUGUAAGAAAUGCAUUGAGGAGUGCGUUACUGGAAUAUAAAGUCAGAAAAACACAUUAGCCUACAGCAACCAUUUUCACAACAAUUAAACAAGAUGAACUUCAAGGAUGUACUAUAACAGUAAAAUCCUCCUUCAGAUAAAACUGCUCUGGUUAAGUAGGGCCCAGUGAUAAAAUCCCUCCACAUCUGAGAUAGCAUUCUGCCCUUUGAAUGCUUGGGAGUUUGUGGAGUCCAGUUCUUACCAGCACCCUCGCUCAUCAUGUGUGCUUGUUUUUGAUAAAUCACUUCUCUCUGAGCUUCUUUACUUUUGUUUGUAAGCUCACCAGGGCAAGAACUGACUCUUACCACAUUAUACAGUCCUGGUUAUAGUUCUGGCUUCUAGAAACCAUGGUAAUACAGAAUAACUGUCCCAUAGCAAGAGCUCUUGGUGACUCUAAAUGGUGUGUUGUGCAUGUGAAUCAAGAUGUAACAUCUUUUCAAAAAUCUCUCUUGCACAAGAUGAUAUUCUGAUCCAUUAUGUCUGGUGAAGAAAUUGAAUUAGAAAUCUGUACUGCCCUUACUUUCAGCACAAAUUCAGGACGGGUGCCAGACUCCUAGACAAUGGGGAAAGAAUUAUUAAAGAUGCCCUUCUGAGGUAAAGAAAUAAAAAUCCAAAGUAACGUGCUAAAAUUCCACUUCAAGUUCUGUUCUCCCCCCCUCCAGCAUCCUCUGCAGUAUUUUGAAUUCUGCAGUGCAUCUCUGAUGUAAUCAGAGCUCCUGCAAGGAGUCCUGAUACUGCUCUGUGAUGCAGACAAUUCAAAGUUGUGCCUAGGUGAUAACAAGCAUGCAAGGAAGAUGCGUAACUCCCCCCUAGACUCUUCUGUCAAUUCCAGUGCCUGGAACUGAUCUCUGCUGCCUUUUACCAUUUGGAAAUUUAGCAAAAAAAAGUUUCAGUGCAGGGUGAAUGUGAAUACAGUGACUUGUCUGGAAGGAUUCUGUAAGAAACGGUCUUGCAGGUUAGUGAUCCUCCAUGCUUUAUAGUUUCCUUAGUUAAAAUAGGCAGUGUUAAAUGCAGCUCUCUUCUGACACUUGAUUUCCAUCCUGUAUUGCCACUGUCCGAGUCCCCCCUGCAAUACUUCAAGCUAUACUCAUACGGUUCUCUAGGUAGUAACAACAAAUCUCAAACUUUAGCUCUGCUUGCAAAGUGAACCUCCAGCCAAAUCGAAGUAAAACUUACAGAGGUCAAUGUAUAGCAUAAACCAAAAUCAUCCUGAAAAACACAGAAUCUCCAAAAAAAAAAAAAAAAAGUCACAUCUGCAUACUGCUCUCCUGGAUCUGGUCAGUGUUACGCUUUAGGGCAUCUUUUGACAUCCUACAAACUGAAUGAUGACAAACAUGUUACCCGGUGUUUUGCUUUAUACAGCUGAGCCUUAUUCUGCCGAUAACAUUCAGAAGUGAAAUAACUUUGCUAGAUAACUUAUAUCCCCAGGAGAAUGUCCUGAAAUACAUUAUAGCUAAUAACUACGGUAGUUUGCUUACACUGAAAUAUAUUUGUUAAGCAAUUUUAGCAAGUCACAUUGAAAACAGUCUUUUAAACAUCUUGCUAUAAAGUAAAGGAUUUGUCAUG